UACGGGGGGGGGCAAGCGUUGUUCGGAAUUACUGGGCGUAAAGGGCCAGUAGGCGGCCAACUAAGUCCGACGUGAAAUCCCCAGGCUUAACCGGGGAACUGCGUCUGAUACUGGAUGGCUAGAGGUUGGGAGAGGGAUGCGGAAUUCCAGGUGUAGCGGUGAAAUGCGUAGAUAUCUGGAGGAAUACCGGUGGCGAAGGCGGCAUCCUGGACCGGCAUUGACGCUGAGGAGCGAAAGCUAGGGGAGCAAACGGGG
rnacentral:rRNA from 1 species